GUUACAAUGGGGGGUACGAGAGGGCCGCUACCACGCGAGUGGAUGCCAAUCCCCAAAACCUCUCUCAGUUCGGACUGGAGUCUGCAACCCGACUCCACGAAGCUGGAUUCGCUAGUAAUCGCGCAUCAGCCGCGGCGCGGUGAAUACGUUCCCGGGCCUUGUACACACCGCCCGUCAAGCCAUGGGAGCCGGGGGUACCUGAAGUGCGUAACCGCGAGGAGCGCCCUAGGGUAAAACUGGUGACUGGGGCUAAGUCGUAACAAGGUAUC
rnacentral:rRNA from 1 species